rnacentral:ncRNA from 1 species
ACAGAAACGAUGACAGGGACAGUAUGGCGUUCCAGUUGCUUGCUUUUCAGCGAAAUGGGGAAGGUGGAAGCCCAUUGCAAGCGGAUAGCCAGAAAAUCACCCGAUAGUUCCGAGCUGAACAUCCUUUUAGGAUCAGUAAGCAUAGGCGUGACAUUCGCGUUAAGAAUGCUAAGAGGACAGGAUAAUGAAUCCUUGUCUAUUUAGGGUGGUACCGCGGGAAUUAUAACCUUCUCGUCCCUUUU